GUUCUUUUUUUGGAGCUUGUGAUGGGCUGAGCUCAGCUCUUGUGCUUGGCCUGACUACCAAGAGCUGAAAAUUGGUGAAGGAAGUUUGAGCUGUUACACGUAAACUAGCCCAUGCAGAGAAACAGCCAUGCAUCAUAGCUUUUCCAGACAUCUGAUGUGGAUUGCACUUGGAUAUAUGAAACAUAAUGUAAUUGAUGCUAUUUUAUGUAGUCCUACAACUCUUGAAUCACAAAAUCUUGAAAAUUCUGCAGCUGACCUUGUUUACAGCUUUCAACAAAGGGCGGCGGGGCUGUACUGCUGGAGAGGGACAGUGCCAGCUUAUGAAGGUCCUGCUCAGUGGUUGCCAGGAUGGCUGAAAACCAGAACACCUACCGAGUCAGUACUAUAAGAAGCACUUCUUUGGAAAGCUUUACCACCAACAGCAAGUUCUGAAUAGUACAGCACUUCAAAUUACCCUGCGUAAAAAUAUCAGAAAUACUCAAAUAGUUCCAAAGAAUGCAUCCAAACAGAAUACCAGCAGAACAUGGAAUACGUCCUAUAUGCCUUCCAGAAAUCUUUGGAUGUUUGAUAUGUUACUAUAGAUAUAUAGUAAAAUUGUGACAGUUUUCUUAUUGCUCAAAACCUGCGGUUUCCUGCAGAGACCUUUUCUUUGCUGCAGCCGCAUUGCCAAGUUGUCAGAGCAUUAAUUAAACCAGAAGAAUAAGGCGUUGCGUGUCAUUUCCUACACUGGAUGCCUCCGUGUCAGGGACACAUCUCCAUGGCAAGAACCUGUACAUACACACAGAAUAAGCCUGGCAACAGUACAAAAGCUCACACAGGCUUCUGAGUGAAAAAUGUGGCAGAGGAAAAUAUGGAAUUUAAAGCAAGGUAUUUUGGGGAAAUUGUUUGGUGGAUGCUUAAUUUCUUAAGCACCAAUGUGAUGGUUUCAAUUGGAUACGGUGUGUAUUCCGGUGUUAUUUUUAGUCUCCGUAUAUUAGAUGUAUUAGAUACAUAUUGGCUCAAACCUUAAAAGGUUUCUCAUUUUAAAACCCCUCAUUCAUUACAGGUGACGGAGUGCUCCUUUGUGG
ensembl:lncRNA